rnacentral:lncRNA from 1 species
UUAAUUUGGAAUACCAGUAUCUGCAUCCAGGUACUGAGGUCAGAAUUUUAAAGUGAUGCAUUAAAAAUCACUAUGUUUAUUAAAAAGAAAAAACACUAAGCCAAACCAAAACAAACCCGUAAAAACCCCACCAACCAGAAACUACAAAAUCGAGGUAUACUGAAUAGACUUUGAUUAGACUUGAUGGCACUGCUUUAUUGAACUAUGUAUCACUGAACUUUUCUUAAGCCUUAGGAAAGACAGCAUGGAGUUGGAAGAGAAGCAGGGAUCUCCACGAAGGGCAGUCAGUUAUACUCUUGGUGUGUGGAGGAACAGGUCCUGUUCUCGCUGUUGUUACUCCCACAUAGGCAGACUGUAAUUGAUUAUGUGUGGGUAGGGCCCUAUUGAAAUUCAGGAGAUUCUGCAGUAGUGCGGGGUUCUUUUUGUGAAAGUUCAGUUGCAAGAUCAGGACCCCACUGUGACUCCUAACUGUGAAUUCUGUCAGUGUAUCAUUGAUUGUGCUGGAACCUGCCUUUUGGGAUAAUGUAUGUAUUUUAGAUAUGAACUAAUCAUAAAACGUUUCUAAUUAGAAAAUGAUUAUAAUUUACAUGCAUUCUUUUAAUUAUGUUUUUUUGGCAGUACCAAAUACUAUAUUCCUCAAAACUUCUUAAUGGCACUGAGGCUUUGUGGAUAGUUGGUCACAUGAGAAAAUUCAGCUGUAAAGGAGAAUCCAUAGAAGAACAAGAGUGAAAACAUUCUUGGAAAGCAAGAUUUAAAAGGCAUGUUUCAAAAGAGUUGUAUUUGUUUAGUCAAGAGCAAACUGGGGAAAAUAAUAUGACAUCUGAAGAUCAUUGUGAAGAAGAUGGUCACCAAUUGUCUUUUGUAUCCAGUUGUGGAAGAACAAGAAAAAAAUUAUCUUAGUUUACAGUCAAAAAUAACAGGCUACAUAUUUGGAAAAUCCUUCUAAGUACAAGGACAGUUAAAAACUGGAACCAACCUGUCUGUCAUUGAUGGAACAUCUUCCUCACUGGCAAUUUAGAAUGGAUUAGACAAAAAGUUUCUGUCAUCAAAAUGCUCUUAUAC